AGAGACAGAGAGAAAAAGAGAGACAGAGAGAGAGGGAGAGAGAGAGAAAGAGAGAGAGAGAGAGAGAAUUUGCGGGGGAGACGAGAUGGGGUGGUGCUGAGAUCACACCUUGAUCCUGGGCUCUGGCCCUCCCGUGAACAGUGGGAAGAUAAAACUGCUCUCUUUCUGUCCACCCAGUCUGUGGUUCUUCAUCACAGCCGCCUGGACAGACGAACAUGCAAGGCAGAAGGGGAAACAUUUCUCUGAAGAACUAACUAGGUUUCCCCCACAGUCUUACAAGACAGAAGAAACUAUGCAUCUGAAGCCCAAUAUUAACCCAAAGAACAACAAUGAGGAACUCCACAGUCAAAUGCUCAGAAGGCGACCACGUGAACUGAGGAAAGAAGAAAGGUUAUAAGCUUUCAUUUAAGAAGCACUUUCCUGUACCUCCAGGAAAGAAAUGUCCUUCAAUGUCAAUCCCCGGGAUUCAGAGGACGAUUUGAACAUGCGGGUGAUUUGAACACGCGGGGUUUGCUAACUCCUAACUUCAUUGCCUACAUCUUAUUCCCCUCACUUCUCUACGACCACCUCCUCAUCACACCUAGCAACAUACAUGUGUGAUUCCAGCGCUUGGCAAGCAGAGGCAGGUGGAUGGCCUGCCCUCCAGCUGCCAGCCCAGAACCUCCGCUGACGUCAUCUACGAGGUUGGUCCUCUCCUCCUGUUUUACUUACUUUUCUGUUGCUGUGGUGAAAUGUGGUUGAUGCUGCAAUGAUGGACGGCACACUUACUGAAGUAAAAGUAAGUAUUCAUUGUACAAAUUACUCACAAGAGACAAACAAGUAACCCAGAUGAGCCAAGUACUUUUCCGCC